CCCUGUGUGGCUCAGUUGGUAGAGCAUGGUGUUUGCAACACCAGGGUUGUGGGUUUGAUUCCCAUGGGGG
rnacentral:tRNA from 1 species